rnacentral:lncRNA from 1 species
CCGGAGAACCCGUCUGCCAUGCCUGGGGAGCCCGGCCCAGCCUAACCACCCAGGGGCCCUUCCUGUCCAGCGACCCCCACCACCGGCAUCAUGCCCCAGGACCCAGACCUCUUCUGAGAGGGAACAGAAGAAAGAGGUUGUCUUCAGAUAUCUGCAGCUCCUGAACAUCUUAUGCAUUUGUGAGACAUCUAUGGCAGAAGCUGGAACACCAAAUUAAUUUCGCGUUGGCUGGCAGGCAGAAGACACAGAAGUUACGCCCAAGAAUCCAGCUUUC